rnacentral:snoRNA from 11 species
AUGCGAAUAAUUCUCGCUGUCCUGAUAUUUCCGUGAUCAGGGCAGGCUAGACAUUCGCUAUAUUAUUACUAUGCGGUGUGUCCCCAGGGUUGGUUCCUCUCCCUAGUCCUGGUUUUUAACUGCAAGUAACAUGU